UCAAGCUACAAAGAGCGCAAGGGGAAUGCCUUGGCACUGGGAGCCGACGAAGGACGUAGCGAUCUACGAUAAGCCACGGUGAGCCGAAAGCAGGCAUCGACCCGUGGAUUUCCGAAUGGGGCAACCUGGCUGAAUAGAACUCAGUCAACAUACGGUGAAUAAAAUAGUCGUAUGUAGGGAACCGCCUGAACUGAAACAUCUAAGUAGGGCGAGGAAAAGAAAUCAACCGAGAUUCCGCAAGUAGUGGCGAGCGAACGCGGAAGAGGCCAAACCGAGAGUAGUAAUACUUUCGGGGUUCGGACAGCGGACGGUAUGCUGAAGGUUAGCAGAAGGACAUGGGACGGUCCACCAAAGAGAGUGAAAGUCUCGUAUGCGAAAACUGAAAGCAGCCAGCUGAAUCCAGAGUACCGCCGGACACGUGAAACCCGGUGGGAAUAUGGGGGGACCAUCCUCCAAGCCUAAAUACUACCCAGUGACCGAUAGCGUAUAGUACUGUGAAGGAAAGGUGAAAAGAACCCCGGGAGGGGAGUGAAAAGAACCUGAAACCUUGUGCUUACAAGCACACAAAGCACGUCAACGUGUGAUGUGGUACCUUUUGUAGAAUGGUCCGGCGAGUGAAUGUAACUGGCGAGGUUAAGUUCUUAAGGAACGGAGCCGAAGCGAAAGCGAGUCUGAAUAGGGCGUCUUAGUCAGUUGUAUUCGACCCGAAACCGGGUGACCUAUCCAUGUCCAGGAUGAAGUUAAGGUAAAACUUGAUGGAGGUCCGAACCCACGGUCGUUGAAAUGCCCGGGGAUGAGAUGUGGAUAGCGGAGAAAUUCCAAUCGAACCCGGAUAUAGCUGGUUCUCUCCGAAAUAGCUUUAGGGCUAGCCUCGACUGAACAUUACCGGAGGUAGAGCACUGAAUGGGCUAGGGGCCGAGAGGUUACUGAACCCUAUCAAACUUCAAAUGCCGGAAAAUGAUAGUCGGGAGUCAGACUGCGUGAGAUAAGUUUCGUAGUCGAAAGGGAAACAGCCCAGACCCACAGCUAAGGUCCCAAAGUACGGUUAAGUGGAAAAGGAUGUGGAGUUGCACAGACAACCAGGAUGUUGGCUUAGAAGCAGCCACUCAUUAAAAGAGUGCGUAAUAGCUCACUGGUCGAGUGACUCUGCGCCGAAAAUUUAACGGGGCUAAAUCGUACACCGAAGCUUGGGAAUAUCAGUUAUUCUUCAUGGACUUGCUAAGGUAAGACACCAUGGCACGGAGUGCCAUCAAAUUGUCCAGAAGGAUAAAGCGAGCUUGUGAAGAAUAACUGAUAUUGGUAGGAGAGCGUUGAAUGCGGGGUGAAGUCAGAGCGAAAGCGCUGGUGGACUGCAUUGAAGUGAGAAUGCCGGAAUGAGUAGCGAGAUUUAUGUGAGAAUCAUAAAGGCCGAAAGACUAAGGUUUCAGAAGGAAGGUUCGUCCGCUUCUGGUUAGCCGGGAGCUAAGGUGAGGCCGAAAGGCGUAGCCGAUGCACAUACGGUGGAGAUUCCGUAGCCGUCGAAAUAUUUAAGCAAAGGGACACUUAUGAAGGACAUGACCCGGGCGAUGGUAGCCCCGGGCGUAAGGGACUGAAAACAAGUAGGGAAGCAUGUUUGGAUUAAGGCGAGAAAAGCUUUGUGUAUAUAUCAGACGUCCGUACCGCAAACCGACACAGGUAGUCAGGAAGAGGAUUCUAAGGCCAACGGGAGAAGGGUAGUUAAGGAACUCGGCAAAUUGACCCCGUAACUUCGGGAUAAGGGGCGGUGCGUAAGCACCCGCAGUGAAUAGGUCCAGGCGACUGUUUAUCAAAAACACAGCUCUCUGCUAAAUCGAAAGAUGACGUAUAGGGGGUGACACCUGCCCGGUGCUGGAAGGUUAAGAGGAGGAGUGCAAGCUCCGAAUUGAAGCCCCAGUAAACGGCGGCCGUAACUAUAACGGUCCUAAGGUAGCGAAAUUCCUUGUCGGGUAAGUUCCGACCCG
rnacentral:rRNA from 1 species